rnacentral:rRNA from 1 species
UACGUAGGGGGCAAGCGUUGUUCGGAAUUACUGGGCGUAAAGCGUGCGCAGGCGGUUUUGUAAGCCAGAUGUGAAAUCCCCGGGCUUAACCUGGGAAUGGCAUUUGGGACUGCAAGGCUGGAGUGUGGCAGAGGAGACUGGAAUUCCUGGUGUAGCAGUGAAAUGCGUAGAUAUCAGGAGGAAUACCGAUGGCGAAGGCAGGUCUCUGGGCUGACACUGACGCUCAUGCACGAAAGCGUGGGGAGCAAACAGG